rnacentral:lncRNA from 1 species
UGUGUCCUGGACUCCUGAUAGACUGUAUAGUCCUCCUCUUGGUUAGUGACUCCUGAUAGACUGUAUAGUCCUCCUCUUGGUUAGUUUAGUGACUCCUGAUAGACUGUAUAGUCCUCCUCUUGGUUAGUGACUCCUGAUAGACUGUAUAGUCCUCCUCUUGGUUAGUGACUCCUGAUAGACUGUAUAGUCCUCCUCUUGGUUAGUGACUCCUGAUAGACUGUAUAGUCCUCCUCUUGGUUAGUGACUCCUGAUAGACUGUAUAGUCCUCCUCUUGGUUAGUGACUCCUGAUAGACUGUAUAGUCCUC